AACGAACGCUGGCGGCAGGCCUAACACAUGCCAGUCGAGCGCGCCCUUCGGGGUGAGCGGCGGACGGGUGAGUAACGCGUGGGAACGUGCCCUUCUCUGCGGAAUAGCCUCGGGAAACUGAGAGUAAUACCGCAUACGCCCUUUGGGGGAAAGAUUUAUCGGAGAAGGAUCGGCCCGCGUUGGAUUAGGUAGUUGGUGGGGUAAUGGCCCACCAAGCCGACGAUCCAUAGCUGGGUUGAGAGGAUGAUCAGCCACACUGGGACUGAGACACGGCCCAGACUCCUACGGGAGGCAGCAGUGGGGAAUCUUAGACAAUGGGGGCAACCCUGAUCUAGCCAUGCCGCGUGAGUGAUGAAGGCCUUAGGGUUGUAAAGCUCUUUCAGCUGGGAAGAUAAUGACGGUACCAGCAGAAGAAGCCCCGGCUAACUCCGUG
rnacentral:rRNA from 1 species